GCGCCCUUAGUUCAAUUGGACAGAACAUCGGAUUUCUAAUCCGUCGGUUACAGGUUCGAAUCCUGUAGGGUGCG
rnacentral:tRNA from 2 species